CGCGGGGUGGAGCAGCUCGGUAGCUCGUCGGGCUCAUAACCCGAAGGUCGCAGGUUCAAAUCCUGUCCCCGCUACCA
rnacentral:tRNA from 3 species